rnacentral:rRNA from 1 species
CCUACGGGAGGCAGCAGUGGGGAAUUUUGGACAAUGGGCGAAAGCCUGAUCCAGCAAUGCCGCGUGUGGGAAGAAGGCCUUCGGGUUGUAAACCACUUUUGUACGGAACGAAACGGCUCGCUUUAAUACAGUGGGCUAAUGACGGUACCGUAAGAAUAAGCACCGGCUAACUACGUGCCAGCAGCCGCGGUAAUACGUAGGGUGCGAGCGUUAAUCGGAAUUACUGGGCGUAAAGCGUGCGCAGGCGGUUAUAUAAGACAGUUGUGAAAUCCCCGGGCUCAACCUGGGAAUUGCAUCUGUGACUGUAUAGCUAGAGUACGGUAGAGGGGGAUGGAAUUCCGCGUGUAGCAGUGAAAUGCGUAGAUAUGCGGAGGGACACCGGAUGGCGAAGGCAAUCCCCUGGACCUGUACUGACGCUCAUGCACGAAAGCGUGGGGAGCAAGCAGGAUUAGAUACCCUGGUAGUCCACGCCCUAAACGAUGUCAACUGGUUGUUGGGUGCAUUAGUACUCAGUAACGAAGCUAACGCGUGAAGUUGACAGCGUGGGGAGUACGGCCGCGAGGUUGAACGUCGAAAGGAGUUGACGGNGNGAGAGNGCGACGACGACGACGAGGGAGGAGG